rnacentral:rRNA from 1 species
CUUGACUGUAGCCUGGAAUUGGGUUCGGGCUUUUCUUGCGCAGACUAGGUGGGAGGCUAUGAAGAUUUCCUUCCGGGGAAGUUGGAGCCAACAGUGAGAGACCACUCUGGAAAGGCUAGAAUCCUCAUGGUGAUCCUUGAAUCAAGACACUUGACAGUUUCAGGUGGGCAGUUUUUCUGGGGCGGAAACCUCCCAAAGGGUAACGGAGGUGUGCAAAGGUUCCCUCAGUCUGGACGGAAAUCAGACAUUGAGUGUAAAGGCAAAAGGGAGCUUGACUGCAAGACCUACAAGUCGAGCAGGGGCGAAAGCCGGCCUUAGUGAUCCGACGGUACCGUGUGGAAGGGCCGUCGCUCAACGGAUAAAAGUUA